rnacentral:rRNA from 1 species
GAUGAACGCUGGCGGCGUGCCUAAUACAUGCAAGUCGAGCGAACAGACGAGGAGCUUGCUCCUCUGACGUUAGCGGCGGACGGGUGAGUAACACGUGGUUAACCUACCUAUAAGACUGGGAUAACUUCGGGAAACCGGAGCUAAUACCGGAUAAUAUAUUGAACCGCAUGGUUCAAUAGUGAAAGACGGUUUUGCUGUCACUUAUAGAUGGAUCCGCGCCGCAUUAGCUAGUUGGUAAGGUAACGGCUUACCAAGGCAACGAUGCGUAGCCGACCUGAGAGGGUGAUCGGCCACACUGGAACUGAGACACGGUCCAGACUCCUACGGGAGGCAGCAGUAGGGAAUCUUCCGCAAUGGGCGAAAGCUUGACGGAGCAACGCCGUGUGAGUGAUGAAGGUCUUCGGAUCGUAAAACUCUGUUAUUAGGGAAGAACAAAUGUGUAAGUAACUAUGCACGUCUUGACGGUACCUAAUCAGAAAGCCACGGCUAACUACGUG